rnacentral:rRNA from 1 species
AUUGAACGCUGGCGGCAUGCCUUACACAUGCAAGUCGAACGGCAGCACGGGAGCAAUCCUGGUGGCGAGUGGCGAACGGGUGAGUAAUAUAUCGGAACGUGCCCAGUCGUGGGGGAUAACGCAGCGAAAGCUGUGCUAAUACCGCAUACGAUCUAAGGAUGAAAGCGGGGGAUCGCAGGACCUCGCGCGAUUGGAGCGGCCGAUAUCAGAUUAGCUAGUUGGUGGGGUAAAGGCCCACCAAGGCGACGAUCUGUAGCUGGUCUGAGAGGACGACCAGCCACACUGGAAAUGAGACACGGUCCAGACUCCUACGGGAGGCAGCAGUGGGGAAUUUUGGACAAUGGGCGCAAGCCUGAUCCAGCAAUGCCGCGUGCAGGAUGAAGGCCUUCGGGUUGUAAACUGCUUUUGUACGGAACGAAACGGCCCUUUCUAAUACAGGGGGCUAAUGACGGUACCGUAAGAAUAAGCACCGGCUAACUACGUGCCAGCAGCCGCCGUAA